rnacentral:rRNA from 1 species
CCUACGGGUGGCAGCAGUGGGGAAUAUUGCACAAUGGGGGAAACCCUGAUGCAGCGACGCCGCGUGAGUGAAUAAGUAUUUCGGUAUGUAAAGCUCUAUCAGCAGGGAAGAAAAUGACGGUACCUGACUAAGAAGCCCCGGCUAACUACGUGCCAGCAGCCGCGGUAAUACGUAGGGGGCAAGCGUUAUCCGGAUUUACUGGGUGUAAAGGGAGCGUAGACGGCCAGACAAGUCAGAAGUGAAAACCCUCGGCUCAACUGCGGGAGUGCUUUUGAAACUGUUUGGCUGGAGUGCAGGAGAGGUAAGUGGAAUUCCUAGUGUAGCGGUGAAAUGCGUAGAUAUUAGGAGGAACACCAGUGGCGAAGGCGGCUUACUGGACUGUAACUGACGUUGAGGCUCGAAAGCGUGGGGAGCAAACAGGAUUAGAUACCCUUGUAGUC